rnacentral:rRNA from 1 species
CGAGGCGAACCGGGGAAACUGAAACAUCUCAGUACCCCGAGGAAAAGAAAUCAACCGAGAUUCCCCCAGUAGCGGCGAGCGAACGGGGAGCAGCCCAGAGUCAACAUCAAUAUUUACCACAGGAGAAGGGUCUGGAAAGGCCGGCAAUAAAGGGUGAUAGCCCCGUAUCUAAAGCGGUAAGUGUUGUGAACUCGAAGGGUAGGGCGGGACACGUGUUAUCCUGUCUGAAUAUGGGGGGACCAUCCUCCAAGGCUAAAUACUCCUGACUGACCGAUAGUGAACCAGUACCGUGAGGGAAAGGCGAAAAGAACCCCGGCGAGGGGAGUGAAAUAGAACCUAAAACCGUGUACGUACAAGCAGUAGGAGCACCCGAAAGGGUGUGACUGCGUACCUUUUGUAUAAUGGGUCAGCGACUUAUAUUCUGUAGCAAGGUUAACCGCAUAGGGGAGCCGUAGGGAAACCGAGUCUUAACUGGGCGUUAAGUUGCAGGGUAUAGACCCGAAACCCGGUGAUCUAGCCAUGAGCAGGUUGAAG